AGUUUACAGAGUCUAGGUCAAUUUAACACAUGGUAACAUUUCCUUUCCUGUCUCAACGUGACGGCAAGGGCUUUAAAAAGUUUCGAUCUUCUACAACUUAAUGGAGGAGAGUAGACACCUGUUAUGAAAUAAAUGAAUCUUGUUCUUGUAAUACAUGGUAGUAAUGUUAGUAUAUACGUGAAAUGGUAUCGUUCAAGUUAUAAUUAAUUGUUACGUGAGUUAUAAGAAGUGGCUCAACAAAAGAAUACACUUUCAUUGUUUCCUUUUUGUGGUGGUCAUGAGUCACCAAUACGUUUUACAUUUUAAAGACCUUGUAAUAAACAUACUUUGGUAGAUGUUUCUAUUUGACCCUAUGGAUGCCACAUGUUCAGAGGAUAUUUGGACAUUAAAUUCAAUAACUAUCACCGAUGACUUGGAAUCUGACGAACAUUUUGACUACGGUACUCACGAAACUUUAGUCCUAGAGACUCAAGACGAAGCUGAAUUGGCUGUCAAUAAAAACAUUUGCCGAAAAAAGCACAACCAUUAUUAUAAUAUGUCCGAGUUUUCAGAAAAAAAACUUCCCCCAAAAUAUCGCCAUAAAGAAUUAUUGCAACUUAUCCAAGCCAUGGCAGAGCUAACUGUCAGAAUAGAAGUAAAAAAAAUCAGUAAUGACAGGCCGAAGAAUUGGCAGGGUCAAGAAAAUGUUAGGUAUCCUGGUCAUGAUAGGAGAGGAGAAACAGUCUCUUCUUAUGGUAGUGGACGGAUAGCUGACGUUUACCAGGAUGCUAAAGAGAAUAUUACUUGCUCGUGCAAGAAGUGUUCAAGCAGUGACAGCCCUGAUAAUUGGAUCAUCUGGAUUUUUACAGCGACUCAUGUUGUUUAUGACACCCACGAAGCUAAGAAUUCAGUCUGUAGACUUUUCUUUGACACCGAUGACACCGAAUGUAAAUCGAAUUUCACUGAAAUUGGAAUUAUCAAAAAAUUAUGGAACAAUGAAACUGGCGAUCUGUGCUUGUUAGCUGGAGCCACUUGUGACACUAAUCUAGCAUUACAGAUACAAAAUGCGAUAAAAAAGUUGAAUGAAUCGUGGCAAUACAUUCACGAAAAUCCUGUGAAAAAGCGACGCAAGAAAACGUUGGUCAUUGUCGUGUCUCACCCCCACGGUGGUCCAAAGCAAAUCUCCAGUGGCUAUUUGAGAAAACGUAAUGCGAAAGACUUAGAAGACGAUGACGGGUUCUUCUUCACGUAUACUGCCAGGACUUGCCAGGGAAGCAGCGGAGCCCCUGUUUACGUUUAUGGGCAAAAUUGGUUCGUUGAGGAAAUAAUGCACAGCGGCUGCAAUAAUAAUUUGAACUACAGCACCGUUUGGUGUCCAGCGACGUCAACCUAAAGACAUCUGGCAAACCUUUUUUUUCAGAAGACUCAUUUAGUGGCAAUGAAAACUAUAUGCAUUCUCAAUAUACAUAAUUUCAUUAAGCUUUUAACAUUUAAGUUUACUGAAUUUAAUUGGAUUUAAAUCCUCCCGCGACGUUCGGCGCAUUGAGCGGCAAACUGUCUCCACAAAGAUCUGUCACUGGCAAUGCCUGGAGACUAUUCCAACCUGGUGUCUACUGCUCUGAGGUCCUCCAUGUAAGUUUGUCUGUACGAUGACGUCCCUGUUACGUUUUCCUCGUAUUGGCCUCCAUGUCAUCACGACUCUUGGUCUGCUUAUAUCAUUCUGUCGGCUGACAGGUCCCACUAACCUAAUGCGAUGCUCGAUCACAGCCUCAUUUAGUGGUAGAGUCCCAGUUCGGCAUUUAUCUUUUUGUUUGCGACCCGAUCUCUGUAACUGACUUGUGAUAAAUAUUCAUCUACUUAACACAAUCGUCAUCCCAACAGCAACAUAUGCAUGCUAGACAUGGAAGUCGUCUGCCAACAUUGAGAAAAGACUAAAUGUGGCAGAACAAAAAUGGCAAAGACGAAUUUUUAGAAGUCAGAAAAUUUAUGUACAUUUUUUAAAAAUGUGUUCAUUUUUUAACGCCUACAAUAAAACUACUAUAUUGCUUAUUAAUAUCGAGGGCUAAUAUCUAGCAUUUCAUUACUCUUAUUAAACGACAUAAAUCAUCUUAUUCACUACAAGUUGUUGUUUUUUUUAUAUCAUAUGUAUUUGUUUGUUUAAUAAAUAUUUUGAAGAAAUUUAGUUUUAAUUAAAAUGUAUUUGUUUCGUCGAAUUAAGCAAAUCAUAAAAGGUAUAAUGUAUUCUUAGCGAGAUUUUGGGUAUAAACAACAAUAACAACAAAGUAUUACUACUAAAUAUACAUAAACGUCAAGUCAUAUGUAACGACAUAUAUAGAUAAGCUACAAGCCAAUCAAAAUAAAUGUUUGUUUUAGUUCUGUUUACUAUAUAUUCAUUUUUUACAAUGGACCUCAUCACCAAUCAUAAACAAACAAUAUUUAGCCACGUGAUUCUCUAUCUCUUCUAUAAAAAUUACGAUCCAAUUUUUAAUACACACAGGCUAUCACGUGACAGUUUUUUUCGUACGUUUGGUGAAUGAGGUCCGUUGGCUAAAACAAUUAUCAAACAUUUUUUUUUCUAGAAAAUUUUCCAUGUCAGUUUCGGUUCCUCUAAUGCAAGAAUUGAAAGUGUGUGUGUGUGAAAGAGAGACAGAUAUAGAGAUAGAGCGAAAGACAGAGAGAAAGACUAUUUGAAUUGGGUCCUUUUGCAGGAAAAUACGUGACCUUGACUGACAGAAGAAUAAGUGUUUCCACCCGUGUUUACUCUGUUUAUUCCAUAUCAAAAGAAUUGUUUCUUACAAUAAAAAAAUAAACAACACUUUUAAAUAAUUCCCGUAUUGUGUAAUACACAGUGCCAAUGGUUGCUCUUUAAUGAUAUCCAUAUAUAAAGUACAACCUAAGAUCACAUGGAAUGAAACAAGACAGCGUGUUAGAAGACUAGCAAACAUCUUGCUUAGUAUUUUGUUAUGUAAAGGUAUACACAUCGAUUGAUUAUUGUCAGAAUGUGCAUAAAAACUAUUUUACAACAUUAAUAUUGAUCUUGUCUAGUUAUCAUUACGAAGCAAACAAAUAUGUGCGAAACAAAUAUGUAAAGAUAUAUAACAUAGCCGUUAAAGUGUUAUCACUGUUCUUCAAUGUUACAACUUAUAACCCUGGUCUAUUAUUUUCCAAUUAUACAUAAUUUUAAAUUUUUGAUAUUGGGAUCGAAAUAGCCGUUUGUCAGUAGUAUCAGUUUCAAUAUGUUACAAUGGAAAUGUAUGCUAAUUUUGUUCCGAACUUGUAGAUCCGGAUCUAGCUAUAAAAGCCACUUGGCUAUAGAUUAUUCAAUAAGAUUCAUACACUUUUAAAAUAGUGGGGCCACUAUUCACGCUCUUUAGUGUUAAAUGAUCAAUAGAUGUCGGCCUAGAUCUAGAAUCUUGUCUCCACACGUCUUUAAAGCAAUGAAUAGUACGCCUAACCUUUUAUUGCCUAGGCUGAAUGAAAGAAAAUGUCCACAAAGAGAGGGUGUUUAACCUUGAAUAGUUUUUUUUUGUGUGUUCUUUUAAGCUUAAAUAACCCAGACAGGAAAGUUCACAAACAGCAAGUUUAAGCACGUGACGAUGACGAUAAAUGGUUCUGCACGUUGCUCGAUUGUCGCUUGGCGUGGCAUCGAGAUUUCUAGGUAGAUUCUAUAGGUCUGAAAAAUAGAUCUACUAUCUGUGUAUGUGAAGCAUAAACCAGCUGUUAGUGUGACUGCUGGUGUAAAAGUCUACCAGAAUGAUAGUUUGACAGUUUAUCUCCAUGACAGGUCAUGGCUGCAGAGGCAGAGGAGCUGGAAGAUGACUUUGACUACGGUACACACGAGACCUUGAUUCUCGAAACUGGCGAUGAAGCUGAACUGGCAAUAAGCAAAGCGUUGUGUCCAAAGUCACAUGAUCGUUUUGUAGAAGUCGAUAGUUUCACGAACAGAAAUCUGCCAUCAGAAUAUAGAGAAGACGGUGAGACGCUUGUUGAUCUUAUACGAGCCUUGUGCGACCUAACGGUGAAGAUCGACCUUAAUUAUGUUACCAAGGACAGACCAAGCAUCUGGAAAGGCAUCAAGAAUUCCAGUUACCCCCUGCAUGACAGGCGUGGGAGAGCAGUGUCGUCGUCAGGAAGUGGAAGAGUCGCUGACGUGCGCAAGCUGGACAAAGAAAGCUUCCGGUGUCCUUGUAAGGAAUGCUCUGACGACAUAGGAAGACAAAACUGGAUGAUUCUGGUUUUCACAGCCACCCACGUGAUCUACAACACGGAAGAAGCCGAGAAAGCAGUUUGUGUUGCCUUUUUUGAUAAAAGGAACACUGGGAUUAGGUUCCCCUUGGUUGAAACUCAAUGGCGCAAUGAAACCGGAGACCUGUGUUUGCUGGCAGGUGUCACCUGUAACCCUGAUUUAAAGACGCGCCUCUGGGAUGCUAUCCUCAAAUUUAAUGCUUCAUGGAAGGAGAUCGAGAAACGGUGCGAGGAGUCGAAAGAGAAGCGAAAGAAGAAGCUGGUGGUGAUCGUUUCCCACCCUCACGGCGCCCACAAGCAAAUUUCUGUCAGCAGCGUGAAAGAGGAAAGGAUUAAACAUAUUAACAAUGACACGGGGUGCUUUUACUCCUAUAAGGCCAGCACGUGCCAGGGGAGCAGCGGGGCGCCGGUGUACAUUUAUGGACAAAAUUAUUUCGCUGAUGAAAGAGUUCAUAGUGGCACUGUCACUGACAAAAGUUUAAAUUAUUGCACCACUUGGUGUCCUAAGAAGAAACAAAAUUGAUGAAACAAAUAUACAAAUAUUCCAAUACAUUUCUCUCUCUUCUUCUCUCUCUCUCUCUUCUUCUCUCUUUUUCUUCCUCCCUGUCUUUUUUUCUUUCUCCUUCUCUUUUUCCCUUUCUCUCUUUCACUCUAUCUCUUUUCUCUCUCUUUUUCUCUCUCUUUUUCUCUCUCUUUUUCUCUCUCUUUUUCUCUCUCUUGUUCUCUCUCUUUUUCUCUCUCUUGUUCUCUCUCUUUUUCUCUCUCUUUUUCUCUCUCUUUUUCUCUCUCUUUUUCUCUCUCUUUUUCUUUUAUUUACCUCUCUCUUUUCUUUCCCUUUCUCUCUGUCUUUUUCUCUAUGUCUCUUUCUCUCCCUUUCAUUAUUUCAAUCUCUUUUUCUUCUCUUCUUUUUCUUUUUUUUUCACUUCCUCUUGCUUUCUCUCUUUCUCUCUUUGAAGCUCUGUCUCUUUCUCUCUCGCAAUAUAUAUCUAUGCUAUAAAGCAAAACGUAAAGCGUAUGUCUGUAUGUAUUUCCCUCAAAGAAAUAAAAAAAACGUUUCACCAAUCUUUAUAAAACUUGACAUAAAUGUUCCUUGGGUACUAACUGGAACAGCAACGUAUGAAAAGUAGCCCUAAAACAAACUUAAGACCCUUAAAAAAAAGUUGCCCAACUCUAUAAAAAGUAUUACUAUUUCAUGGGUCUAGUUCAUAUAGCCAUGUUUACAUGAGACAAGACGGAUAGCGAAGGCUCCACGCUUGCAGAAAGAAAAUCUCCGAAGCCUACAUCUAACUCUGGAUCUAACUCUUGAUCUAAUUCUAAGAUGACAGAUCUACUUUAUACUUUAACACAUGAACAUGCAAAAUAUA